GAUGAACGCUGGCGGCGUGCUUAACACAUGCAAGUCGAGCGAGAAAUUAAGAAAUGAAUUUUCGGAGGAUUUUCUUAAUGGAAAGCGGCGGACGGGUGAGUAACGCGUAGGCAACCUGCCUCAUACAAAGGGAUAGCUCCGGGAAACCGGAAUUAAUACCUUAUAAAGCCAACUUAGCGCAUGCUAGGGUGGCCAAAGAUUUAUCGGUGUGAGAUGGGCCUGCGUUUGAUUAGCUAGUUGGUAAGGUAACGGCUUACCAAGGCGACGAUCAAUAGCCGACCUGAGAGGGUGAUCGGCCACACUGGAACUGAGACACGGUCCAGACUCCUACGGGAGGCAGCAGUGGGGAAUAUUGCACAAUGGGCGAAAGCCUGAUGCAGCAACGCCGCGUGAGGGAUGAGGUCUUCGGAUCGUAAACCUCUGUCCAAAGGGAUGAAAAAAAUGACAGUACCUUUGGAGGAAGCCCCGGCUAACUACGUGCCAGCAGCCGCCGUAA
rnacentral:rRNA from 1 species